GAUAAAGACACCGAUGGCGAUAAAGAGACCGAUGGCGAUGAAGAGACUGGAAAUAUCAAUGAAGGAAGCCCCGCCCACGAUGAAAACAAAGGUCAAGAAACUGGUACCAACGACAAUACAGAGGGGAAGAAAGAGGAAGUGCAGGCUCCUCAAAUGGAAGUAAAUGUUGUGGAAAAUCCUGACGACAAUAUGGAAGAUUCUCAGACGAACGACACUGGCACCAGCAGUGGAGGAGAGACGAACGAUCCUGUCGAGGACUCGGAACAAGCUGAUUCAACUCUAACUCAGUCCAAAGGCACUGAGAAGAAAGACUGACCAGCUGAAGGGAAGACAAUCAGCCUCAUCUGACAGCCAGCAAACUGUGCGAAGGCCACACUGGUGUCAGCCUGGCCCAUGUCAGUAUGGGCUCUGACACUGGCCCAGGAAAACCAGUUACUCACAAGAUGCUCACAUUCCCAAGUUUACUUACCCUCCCCUCUCUUGGUUAAACUAUUCAUCCCUGAAAUAUGUAUGUACUAUAUGUAUAUGUAUGUACAAAACCUUACUUAUAGGACUUGAACAUAUCAACCAGAAAAGAUGAGCCAUACCUCACUGUGUGUUAGAGUCAUACAUCAUUCUGCCCGAAGGGUGCAAUGAGAUAAACCAGGUUCAAGUCUUGCUAUUUGAUAAACCCACUGUGAGAGCAUGGCGAAGCUGUCAUUGGACAACAGCCACAGCUCCUACAUGUUGACACUCCCGGCUGGGUGAUGCUAAACAUCAACCAUCCUUUUUAGUUUUUACUGACGCCACCAGUACAGUCACGAUGGCGCUCGGUAGUGGGACGACAGCCUGCAUUUGUAAUCUGCUUUGGAGUGCGACACACUGACACCUGCCACGUCUCCUCACACACCGCCGCAGCUUCGAUUUCCAUUCUUUAGUCAGAUCGGCCAAUGCCCCGAUUCGCGUUGCGGUCUGUGAGGCGACGUGCCGCUUGCCAGGCCUUUCAUCUGAACAUCACUAAUCAAGUCUCAUCUCCGCUGCUGCCGUGACUGCAGCUUUACUCAUUUUAACCAGGAAACUGUUCAUUAACGCCCGUGCACAUAAACGAGGAUGUGAGUGUCUUUUCAACAAAUCGAUUUGAGUCUUCUUUUUAAUUUCCCCUCCCUCCCCUUUCCUUUUUCUUUGCCAUUUCCAGUGCAUGCCAGGAAAUUGCUUUGAACUUCACCUACAUAAACAAGAAUUGCAGUCUUCUUCGCUUUCGCUUGUCUUCUUACCAGAUUGUCUAUAAUUGUAUCGAAUGAAUCUGCCUUAUUUCAUAUCAAAUUACAAAAAAACCAUCACAAUCACAGACCUGAGGAGGAGAUGUAUGAGUUCUUGGUUGUGUAUUGCUUGCAGAUGAUUUGUAUUUUUAAGUACAUGUAAUGGCUAACACCUGUUUUUUCUUUCUUUCUUUAAUUUUUAAAAAAGGGGUUUUGCUUUGUUUCAAAUGUUGGUAUGAGUCAUUAAUUAUUUUCAGUGGUGCCAUACUAAAGAUCAGAGAAAUUACAGUUCUUAGAAAUGAUGCCUUCAUACUUUGAUGUUUGCUUUGCUAAAUUAUAACACAAAAAACAACUAAUAAAAUUUAAGGUGGAA